rnacentral:rRNA from 1 species
UACGUAGGGGGCAAGCGUUGUCCGGAAUCAUUGGGCGUAAAGAGCGUGUAGGCGGCCCGGUAAGUCCGCUGUGAAAGUCGGGGGCUCAACCCUCGAAUGCCGGCGGAUACUGUCGGGCUCGAGUCCGGAAGAGGCGAGUGGAAUUCCUGGUGUAGCGGUGAAAUGCGCAGAUAUCAGGAAGAACACCCGUGGCGAAGGCGGCUCUCUGGGACGGUACUGACGCUGAGACGCGAAAGCGUGGGGAGCGAACAGG